UGCUGGCAUCAAGUAAGCCGACUACCUCGGCAAAGGCUUAGGGACAAGAGACCAGCAGCCUGAACUGGCUGGGGCAUCCGGAAGGCUUAGAUCUUGUGGCCAAGAGUUCAGACCGUGGCGAAGUGGAGAGUGACAUGCAGUUGGAUGGCGGUGACUGCGUGCAUUCCACAAUCACGGGCUACUUCAAUUCUGCCUGCUGAGCUGAUUUAAUAAUCUGGAAGAGGAUUAUUCUCCCCCAUCUGGAAGAGGAUUAUUCUCUAUAAUCCCAGUUAGAGACACAAUGACAUAAACAUCGCUGUCCUGCAACCCUGGUUCCAGUCUGGCAAGCAUUGUAGACCUGGCUGCUGAAGACUGACGGGGCCCAGGGUCCGCUGCCCCCACCGCCAUCACCACCUCGGAACCCAGGGUAACGCUGUCAGUCUUUGAGCCUACGAGGAAACCAUUCGGAAGCUCCAGAACCCAGGCCCUAAUCACAACGCCCCUAUCCAGCAGGAAGCAGCCAGAUGAUCAACGACGCCCUUUUUCCUUUUUAUACUAAAGUAAGAAAUAAGAAUGUUAGCCCAAACUGCACUAUUUUGCAGACCCCUACCAUUUUACAAACUGGUCAGAGUGGAAAAUUCCACCAGGGCCUGAGCUGUGAGAAACAUCCUGUCAGGCAGGUCCCAGGCCUAACCCCUGGCUGCACUAAAUUCCUUCAUUAUCAGCAGCCAAACACACCGCCCCCACCCCAUUUUCACAACAAUCCCAGACCUCUCCUGCCCGGGACUGUAACUGGUCCAGCCUGUAAGCGGGAAGGGGGCUCUGGCACUAGCUGGUACCCCCUCUCCGCAGGUCUUUCUCCCAAUAAAUCUGUGUUGCCAUU
rnacentral:lncRNA from 1 species